rnacentral:rRNA from 1 species
ACUCCUACGGGAGGCAGCAGUGGGGAAUAUUGCACAAUGGGCGCAAGCCUGAUGCAGCCAUGCCGCGUGCGGGAAGAAGGCCUUCGGGUUGUAAACCGCUUUUGUUCGGGAAGAAAUCCUCUGGGCUAAUACCCCGGGGGGAUGACGGUACCGGAAGAAUAAGCACCGGCUAACUACGUGCCAGCAGCCGCGGUAAUACA